rnacentral:rRNA from 1 species
UGGGGAAUUGUUCGCAAUGGGCGCAAGACUGACGACGCAACGCCGCGUGGAGGAUGAAGGUCUUCGGAUUGUAAAAUCCUGUUGCCCGGGACGAAUGGCUCCAACCUAAUACGUGGGAGUGUGACGGUACCGGGUGAGGAAGCACCGGCUAACUCUGUGCGAGGAGCCGCGGUAAUACAGAGGGGGCAAGCGUUGUUCGGAAUUACGGGGCGUAAAGGGCGCGUGGGCGGCCUUCUAAGUGAGACGUGAAAUCCCCGGGCUCAACCCGGGGACUGGGUGUGAUACUGGAAGGGUUGAAUCCGGGAGAGGGAUGUGGAAUUACAGGUGUAGCGGUGAAAUGCGUAGAUAUCUGGAGGAACACCGGUGGCGAAGGCGGCAUCCUGGACCGGUAUUGACGCUGGGGCGCGAAAGCCAGGGGAACAAACGGG